rnacentral:rRNA from 1 species
GUUUGAUCCUGGCUCAGAUUGAACGCUGGCGGCAUGCUUUACACAUGCAAGUCGAACGGUAACAUUUCUAGCUUGCUAGAAGAUGACGAGUGGCGGACGGGUGAGUAAUGCUUGGGAACUUGCCUUUGCGAGGGGGAUAACAGUUGGAAACGACUGCUAAUACCGCAUAAUGUCUUCGGACCAA